rnacentral:lncRNA from 1 species
GGUACAUCCAAAUGUGUGCAUAUAAAUGUACAAACACAUAGUGAUUGACAUUCUUACUAGGAUUAUCAGAUCUUCUAAGCAGCAUAUUUUCCCAAAGAUAAUUUUUUAAAAAAUGAACAAAUUCCAGAACCAUUAGGGAGAAAAAUCACCUAUGGAGCAGGAGUAAAUCUGAAGAAUCUAGCAAAAUUUGGGAUAGCAACUUGAAUAAUGAUCCGAAAGACUGACAGGGUGAUGGACAGACUUCUGUAAACCCGAGGAGACCAUGUAGGAGUUCUUUGCUCUCUGUCUGGAGUCAGAGAAACUGGCAUGUUUCUCUUAACCUGUGACUGAAGUGUGUUAGGAUGGAUGACGAGUUAUGGUGGAGUUCUCUUCCUUUUCUUGCCGUAGUUUCAUAAAUAGAGAAAAAAAUAUGCUGUUAGACAUAGGCUAUAAACAACCACACUGAUUUCUUAAUUAUCCUUUUGUGAUUUGUUUACUUAUUGUCUAUUCUUACCAGGACAAUUAGCUUUAUUUUGCUGCGUUCGGAAGCCACUUAAGUAUCUGCUCACGGCAUCUGUUAGUAUAUCCUCACUCUUCUCUGCAUAAUUCUUGCUGUACCAUUGACUGGGCCUUUCCUUUCCAAAGCUCUUCAGCUCUGCGCAAUCACUUGUGUGAUGGAGAAGUGACAUACAUGCACUCACCUCAUUUUUCUAUGACUUAACAGUUGAGUGACUGUGUCUAAGUUACUUACCUAUCUGCAUGGUCUCCUACUUCUGAAAUAAGUCCUGCCUAGUGCUGUUAUGAAGACUGAAACUGUAUGCAGAUCAGCUGGGGCUCUGUGAGCUCCCCUAAAUGCGUGUCCUCCUGUCCACACCACAGCUCUUGCAGGUUCAAAUGGAUAGAAUCAGACCUACCAACAAGCUUUCAUCUUCGGAGAUGUAAACACAGGCCUGGCCCUCUCUUCUGUCAUGAUAUCUUCUGUGAAUAUUCUUGGUCAGGAGUGCAAAGCGCGAGAGGGCUGAUUGCUGCUGAGCUGAGCCCUCAAAAACACUGCGGACUUUUCACAUGCACCAACCCGAGGCUCCACUCACCACUCUUGCUGGAAAGGCAACUCUUACAACAUCCUUCUUUCUACUAUUCAAUUUCAAGAUGUGUUGUAGAUCUGCAGAUAAAUUCCAGCAGGAAAGGAGAACAAAAAUAGUAAAUAGGUCUUCACCUAACUUCAACUGAGUGGGAAUUUAACUACAGUGACAACGUAUAUAGGAAAUUGACUACCAGAUCUGGAUACUCAAGUUGAUUUUCUUCUCUACAACCAGAAAACAAAAAUAAAAGCAAAAAGCUAUUCUUUAUGAAUAAAAAAAAUUUUGUUAAGCCCAUUAAAUGCUAUGUGUUCAUUAAUUCCUUUCACAUAAUAUUGGUUCCUCUCAG